CCUACGGGUGGCUGCAGUGGGGAAUAUUGGACAAUGGGGGCAACCCUGAUCCAGCCAUGCCGCGUGUGUGAAGAAGGCCCUCGGGUUGUAAAGCACUUUCAGUGAGGAAGAACGCCUGGUGGUUAAUACCCAUCAGGAAAGACAUCACUCACAGAAGAAGCACCGGCUAACUCCGUGCCAGCAGCCGCGGUAAUACGGAGGGUGCGAGCGUUAAUCGGAAUUACUGGGCGUAAAGCGCGCGUAGGUGGCUUGAUAAGCCGGUUGUGAAAGCCCCGGGCUCAACCUGGGAACGGCAUCCGGGACUGUCAAGCGAGAGUGCAGGAGAGGAGGGGAGAGUUCCCGGGGCAGCGGGGACGGGCGUAGAGAUCGGGAGGAAGAGCAGUGGCGGAGGGGGCAUUCUGGACUGUCAGUGACACUGGGGUGCGUGAGCGUGAGUAGCAUACCGGACUAGAGAGACCAGGAGUC
rnacentral:rRNA from 1 species